AACGCACAUUGCGCCCCUUGGUAUUCCAUGGGGCAUGCCUGUUCGAGCGUCAUUUUGUACCCUCAAGCACUGCUUGGUGUUGGGCGUUUGUCCUGCAAAGGACUCGCCUGAAAGCGAUUGGCGGCCAACGUAUCGGUGGCAGAGCGCAGCACAAUCUCGCGUCUCUCCCCUCUACGUCGGCAUCCAUAAGCCUUUUUUCAACGUUUGACCUCGGAUCAGGUAGGGAUACCCGCUGAACUUAA
rnacentral:misc_RNA from 1 species